rnacentral:rRNA from 1 species
GCAUGCCUACAACACAACGUUAAUGCACCAGAUCCCAUUAGAACUCCAUAGUUAAGUGCGCUCAAGCCAGAGUAGUAUCGGGAUGGGUGACUGUCCAGGAAGUCCUAGUAUUUUACAUGCC